GUCACAAGUAGUUGGAGAAGAAGAAACAUUAAAUGAUCUGCCUUCUUCAAAUAACAAUGAAUUUUUUGAGUUGCUUAGAGAUGAAACUGAAGAAUCAUAUGAAGGGUCCAAGUACUCGAAGCUAGAAUUUUUGUUGAAGUUAUAUCAGAUUCGCAAGGAGCUGGCAAGAUACUUAAAAUGAAAAAAAGGCACGUGUUAAAUUUAUCUAAUGGAGAACGCAUUGUGGUUGAUUUUGACGACACGGAUUCUCCCAUUGGUGAAGGACAAGGCAUUCUUGCAGGCUUUUGCGGAAUUUUAGCAACCGACUGCUCCAUUUUUUCAAUUCACUUUGAGAAAUGGCUGGAUUUACCUGUGACAAUCUUCAACCGUUGUUAUGAUCGAUUUAUAAAGCCAAGUGAUGCGGCUAGCGGAUCCAUUUCACCCACGGAUAUAAGAAGAUCAUCCGAUGGAAGUAAUCCUAACGACAACCAUUGAAGUUGCUUGCAAAUGUAUUAGAUAAUUAAGUAUAGUACUUGAUUGAAUGGUCAUAGUAGA